GACGAACGCUGGCGGCGUGCCUAAUACAUGCAAGUCGAGCGAGCUGAAUUCAAAGAUCCCUUCGGGGUGAUUUGUUGGACGCUAGCGGCGGAUGGGUGAGUAACACGUGGGCAAUCUGCCCUAAAGACUGGGAUACCACUUGGAAACAGGUGCUAAUACCGGAUAACAACAUGAAUCGCAUGAUUCAAGUUUGAAAGGCGGCGUAAGCUGUCACUUUAGGAUGAGCCCGCGGCGCAUUAGCUAGUUGGUGGGGUAAAGGCCUACCAAGGCAAUGAUGCGUAGCCGAGUUGAGAGACUGAUCGGCCACAUUGCGACUGAGACACGGCCCAAACUCCUACGGGAGGCAGCAGUAGGGAAUCUUCCACAAUGGACGCAAGUCUGAUGGAGCAACGCCGCGUGAGUGAAGAAGGUUUUCGGAUCGUAAAGCUCUGUUGUUGGUGAAGAAGGAUAGAGGCAGUAACUGGUCUUUAUUUGACGGUAAUCAACCAGAAAGUCACGGCUAACUACGUGCCAGCAGCCGCCGUAA
rnacentral:rRNA from 1 species